GAAAGAAAAACUCCCCAUCGUGUUUCUUCUCAUGAUGACAGUGACACAAAGGAAGCUGUGAGAAGCGGCACCCGAGGUGUGAUGAAAUCAUCUGCAGCUGUUGUGGGUUCAGCAGCGCGCGACUGUGUGGGAGUCGAUGGAAAGAGGGGGCUGCGAUGCAGGGUGUUUGGAAACAGGCCGAGAGCUCUGCUUCCAACCAGAGCUGUGUCAGCCUCAUUUGCCUUGUUUCAGGUAUUGAAUAAGGCGUUCCAAAAAACCUUGAUGCUGUUUCUGAACAGCUUAAGGUCCUCAGAAUGCCCUGAGACCUUCCCUAGGUCUGCGCUGUUGGCACAAUAAAUUUUCUUUUGGCCUAGCACAAAUUAAACGUAACUCUGUGUGAGUCAGAAAGCCACUUGUCACUUCAGCACAAAGUCCACCUGGCGAGGUUGUUGGCAGAGACCUCAGUGCUCUGCUGCUCGGCAUUAAAACCCUGUCGGGGAGAGGUGCUGCUUGAGCAGCCAGAGGAAAUACUUCAUGCAGAAUAAAGGGGAUGUUUGGGUUUUUUUUGCUCUCAGUUACACUGUCAUCCAGGCUCCCAGUCCAGUGCUGCAGACCAGAUUUAUUACUCAGAAGGCUUUCUGGAGCAAAGAUUUCUGUGGGAGUAUCAGCAUUUGGCUGAUGGAGAACUGCAGGCAGAGCUGAGAAAGUCCAGAUGUCCAUGGCAACGUCAGCCGAGGGCUUGUGAGACCUCUGCACUGGAGAGUGUGGCCCAAGCAAAUCCCACCUGGAACAGAGGUGCCGAGGCAGGGGGAGGGCAGGCAGGUCCCGUCCCCCCCCCCCCCGAACUGGGCUGGUGUCAGCUGCCACGACUGUUACACCUGCCUGCCUUAAAAAGGGACUGUUAAUGCUAGUGUGAAUAAACGGCAUCGCUGUGGCAGCAGGGGACACGGCUCGGGGUGUGCCCACGGGGUUUUCUAGGUGGGAAAACUUGAGUUGAUGAAGUUUGUCUAAUUGAACAAUUUUUGAACUUCUGACACUGCGUUUUGUAACAUCUUCUCCCCUUGGAAGCUAAAAGUAGCUGGGGGGGGUUGAACAGGGCCAUCCUCGUCCCCUCCUACACGGCUGGGUACAGGGGACAGUGGCCAGAAGGGAUGGUGAUGGGCUUGGGACGGUGCUGGCCUUCAGCGACAGGAAUUCAGGGUGUCUUGGCAAAUCUCCCGUGGGGCAGGUGAGCAGCUGCAGUUUGCAGCAGUGCGUUUCGGCCCUUUGCAAGCCAGGUUUUGCAUUUCUCCCCAGCGCAAGGAGGAGGUUAAUACAAUUUUGAAAAGGCAUCAAAAAAGUUCUUCAGGUGCUCAAGAGGCAUCAGCAACCCAAGUGCUGCCACGCAUCGGUCCGUGUUGGGCUUGAUGAUCUUAAAGGUCUUUUCCAACCCCAGUGACUGUGAUUCUGAGUCCCUCUAAGCAUGUAUUGGUGAUGCAGGCGGCUACAGAGGGGAGAAUGGGCCAAGAAGGGCAUUUACUUUUUUUUUAAAAAAGGAUGUUUUUAUCAUAUACAACAAGAAAUAAAAAACCCAAAUAUUUUUUCGUUGCUGUGAACAAAGUACCAUGUGCUUUGUGUUUUCCGUGAAUUAGCGGUGCUUACUCAGCCAACAUGCUCUGGGUAGAGACACACUGGCUCAGACUCCUGCAGGGGUGAGGUGGUGGAGUUUUGUUUUAUUAUAUAAAAGGGGUUUUAGAAAGAAAAAAAAUCUUUCUGUGUUCCAACACUCUCUGAGAUUCACAUCAUUUUUCUACAAAAUAUAUAUAUUUUUUAUAAAUUAAAUCUAUAAAACAACAUUUGCAUUAAAUAAAAACUAAUACCAUCACAGUAUUUUUACAUUUCAAAAUGUAACGCUUCAAAUGUUCACAGAAAAAUAAAUUUUUCAAGAAGGUGCAAAUGAAGUACCAGUCAAGCCCAAAGCUUUCUGUUGUCUGAUUUUAGAGAAAUUAUUAUUAAAAAAAAAAUAAAUCCACAUUUUAGCCUUUCUUAAAAGUCUUUCAGAGCCUGUUGGGUGGCACCUUUGACUGUGGCUUAUAGUGAGUUCCCAUUACAGUAAACUUCAGAAAGGUUUGGUUCCUCAGGCUGUGUUUUAAUUACGCUGCUGUUAAUCAAAAGUAGGUGUGAUGGCACAGGGUCAGUUAUUAGUGAAAGGGCAAUAAUUUGCCCCAUCUCUGUUGAAACGAGGACCCGAAAGCCUCGGUGGAUGUCUAGCCUGGAUAAAGCCCCUGGAAGCACAGCCUCGUGUUAAAGCUUAUCCGAGGCAGCGAUACAGCCUGAAACCGUGUGGCUUUUGAGCCAGAAAUGGGAACCGAUGGCAGAAAAAUAGUGUCUGGAUGCUUCAGUGACUUUGUGAUUUGGGGGUGUGUCGUUUGCUACACCCCAGAAUGGAGGCUUGGGUAGUUAUUGAAGCAGCAAGUCCUUUGGGGCCACCUCACGCUCCUCGCUCUGUGGUCACCAUGGCUUGAGGCAAGCUCUGGGCGCUCCAUAGAUCCACUGCUUGAUUGUCUGUUGUUUCAGAAAUGUAUAAUACCAUGUCUAUAAUACUAAUUUUUAUGAUCAAAUUCUUUCUGCAUAGCAAGACUCCAGAAUUUUUGCCGCCUUUUGCUGCAGCCAGGAUGCGUGACCAGUACACGGCCACUUAAUGUCCCCACCUGUGACAAUGGGACACAGCAUCGCCUCUCACCAUGGGUCCGUGUCCUCCUCCUACACCAAAGCUACCUCCUCCUGGCUGCCCCACUUAGGUACAGUGCCUGUGGGAAUUACACAGUGUUACUUAUGUUCAGAGAAAAUUUGCAGCCAAAGUUUUAAUGUAUUUUUGGUCAGGUUUUGUUUUUUGGGGGGAGUUCUUUGUUUUUCUCCAGCCUGCACUGAAAUCAGCAGAAGCUCAUCUAAGUCAUUGCUCUCGGUGUCCUGGGGGAAAAAAAUUGAGCCAAACCCACAAAUCCAGUGAACACUUGAAGUCCUGGCAACUGCUGGAGGAAGGCCAGUGUUAGCAGUCCAUGGCGUCCUCCCUGAGCUCAUCUCUGGAGUGCUUCCUCACGUAACUGAGGUGGUGGAGCUGAAUGCUGUCUUGCAGAUCCUGCCUGGAAAGGCGUCUCCUGAACUCAUCUGUAGUAAAGUAGUAAAUGACUGGGUCCACGCAGGAGUUCAGGCUGGCAAGGCACAAAGCUACAACAUGAAACACUGAGAUCACCUUCUGGACACACCCGUUUUUAAUCUUUUUGGUUUUGACAAAGAAAUCCAGUGGAAAGCUGAUAUGAUAAGGUGCAAAGCAAAUCAGAAAUACCAGAGCGCAGGUGAGAAUCAUCUUUAAAGCCUUUUUUUUCUCCCCAAGGUCAUGUGAAGCAGAAUUUUUUUCUUUUAGUGAUAAGAUAGUCUUCCACGAGCAGUAUACGAUGAUGAGUAGGGGUGUUACAAA